rnacentral:rRNA from 1 species
UCCGAAGGGUGCAAACGUUGCUCGGAAUUAUUGGGCGUAAAGCGCACGUAGGCGGCAUUGCAAGUCGGAUGUGAAAUCUUAUGGCUUAACCAUAAAAGUGCAUCCGAAACUGCAGUGCUUGAGUACUUAAGAGGAUCGCGGAAUUCCCGGUGUAGAGGUGAAAUUCGUAGAUAUCGGGAGGAACACCAGUGGCGAAGGCGGCGAUCUGGGAAGAUACUGACGCUGAGGUGCGAAAGCGUGGGGAGCAAACAGG